GAUGAACGCUGGCUGCGUGCCUAAUACAUGCAAGUCGCGCGGACGGACGAGAAGCUUGCUCCUCUGAUGUUAGCGGCGGACGGGUGAGUGACACGUGGAUAACCUACCUAUAAUACUCGGAUAACUUAGGGGACCCGGAGCUAAUACCGGCUGAUAUUUUUCACCGCAUGGUUCCAGAGUGAAACGCGGUCUUGCUGUCACUUAUAGAUGGAUCCGCGCUGCAUUAGCUAGUUGGUAAGGUAACGGCUUACCAAGGCAACGAUGCAUAGCCGACCUGAGAGGGUGAUCGGCCACACUGGAACUGAGACACGGUCCCGACUCCUACGGGAGGCCGCAGUAGGGAAUCUUCCACAAUGGGCGAAAGCCUGACGGAGCAACGCCGCGUGAGUGAUGAAGGUCUUCGGAUCGUAAAACUCUGUUAUUAGGGAAGAACAUAUGUGUAAGUAACUGUGCACAUCUUGACGGUACCUAAUCAGAAAGCAACGGCUAACUACGUG
rnacentral:rRNA from 1 species